AGGGGACGCCACCCCAAGGCCAUCCCCGACCUGCCCAAGGUCUUCAGCGUCUCCUCUGGCAAGACGGAUGUUCCCUUCCAGAUAAUUGUAUCUGGUGUUUGGCCCAGUCCUCCUCAGUAGCAUGUGGCCUCACUGACGUAAUCUGAAAAACCAGGUUUUCCUCCCGAGUGAAGAGAAAAAUCCCUAAAGGGCACCAUUUCCACAGGAACAGCCUGUUCCAGAAAAAAUCCCGCCCAAAGCCAGCACAUUUCCAGUUAGGAACAGCUUGUCUCCAAACAGGAGUCGGACCAGAAAGAAGACUUAAAACAGAUCCCGACUAGGCCCCGGGGAGCUCAGAAGGCAGGAAUCCCGGAGACACCACCCUCAAACCCCAGGGUCGUGGGGGAUCAGGGAGGUCAGCCGGCCCUGCGGGCACCGCACCUGCUGGCUCUCCGGCCUUGGGCGGUUGAGCGCCUUCUCCGGGUCCAGCAUCUCUGGCACCAGGGGGUGUUGACCAUUGCCAGGUAUUUUACCGGCAGAAAUGGAUUUAUUUGGGAGGAACGGAGGACUGCAACCUGGGAUUGCAAGCCACCGCAGAAACCGUGUGGCGCGGGUGCGUAGUUUUCCAAGUCCGCGCCUUGUCCGUUGUUUUCUUGACGGGGUCUUUGGAUGAGCAGGCGGUUUCACGAAAGUGCAACGUAACCGCUUUUAUGAUCAUCGCUUUUGGCAUCUCGUCCGGGGGCCUCUGCCCGAGGUCGCUGAGGUCGGCUCACCGUCUCCGGGCUCCGGACACCCUUCGGUACCCGCCGUGGGCAUGUUUCUCCUUCAGGAAGAGCCAGGUGUCAGGCAGGACGCUGACUGACGCAGUCGCAGAGGUACUCUUCCAGAAGGUCUGUGACCAACGGCAACACGAUGUAUAGCUCAUCUCUAUCUGCAUCCGUGGCUGUGUCUGUAUCUAACCUAGCUGUGGAGACCUACCUGUUUCCUAAAAACAUGGUAACCAUCGGGGUGCCUGGGUGGCUCAGGCGGUUAAGCCUGGGACUCCAGCUCAGGUCAUGAGCUUGUGGUCCGUGAGUUCGAGCCCCACGUUGGGCCCUGUGCGGACAGCUCAGAGCCUGGAGCCUGCUUUGGAUUCUC